UACGUAGGUCCCGAGCGUUGUCCGGAUUUAUUGGGCGUAAAGCGAGCGCAGGUGGUUUAUUAAGUCUGGUGUAAAAGGCAGUGGCUCAACCAUUGUAUGCAUUGGAAACUGGUAGACUUGAGUGCAGGAGAGGAGAGUGGAAUUCCAUGUGUAGCGGUGUAAUGCGUAGAUAUAUGGAGGAACACCGGUGGCGAAAGCGGCUCUCUGGCCUGUAACUGACACUGAGGCUCGAAAGCGUGGGGAGCAAACAGG
rnacentral:rRNA from 1 species